UACGGAGGGUGCAAGCGUUAUCCGGAUUCACUGGGUUUAAAGGGUGCGUAGGUGGGUUGGUAAGUCAGUGGUGAAAUCCCCGAGCUUAACUUGGGAACUGCCAUUGAUACUAUUGAUCUUGAAUACCGUGGAGGUCAGCGGAAUAUGUCAUGUAGCGGUGAAAUGCUUAGAUAUGACAUAGAACACCAAUUGCGAAGGCAGCGGGCUGCGCGAAUAUUGACACUGAUGCACGAAAGCGUGGGGAGCAAACAGG
rnacentral:rRNA from 1 species